rnacentral:lncRNA from 1 species
AUGCAACAAAUGCCAUCCACAGUAAAUGGACAUACUCAUGUUGUGGCCAGGCAUGCAAGUUUGGUCAGCUCUGCGUGAGGCCGAUGUAAUUUCCCAGGAUGUAUGUCAAGAUGUGGCAGAACAUGCCCCGUUAAACAAACGAGAGAGUGUUGUGGUUGCUGUGAUGAACACAGGAGGAAAGCAGGAGAAGAAAUACAUGGGCAUAAUUUGCCUGUCAGUAAUGUGAGCUUUUGUUCUAUAAUCACAUGAUAAUGAUUUCUUUUUCUGUUUUUACCUGUUAGUGUCUCAGUUCCAUGCUGUUGUUUCUGGCUGCUAAAAACAUGCCUAGCAAUGUCUCAGCUCUUUAAAAUCUUAGUAGUCACCAAGUAAAAGUAAAAGAAAAAGUAAAAGAAAGAUACUGAAGAGUAGAAAGGCUGUUUCUGCUGAUGGUGUUUUCUCCGCAUUAGCACUUUGAGAAGUUCUGAAUUGUAUUUGUUCUAUUAAACCAGCAUUAGAAAAUACCAGCAAAUACUAAGAAUGGAAAAUAUAUGGGUUUCCAUAAUAUAGCAUUAUGUUAUUUGUUCCAGCAAACCAUUUAUUUAUUUUUAUUAGUUAAUCCUAGAUUUUGGUAGGUCCAGUUUUUAUCCCUCACAAAUUUUCCCAAAUGCAGUAUUCUUCAGUUCACCUGGUAAAUGGUUGACAUCAUUGGGAAUGGUGUGGUGUUUUCUCAUGUUUUU